GUGAGCGUAGCUCAAUGGUAGAGCCCCGGAUUGUGGUUCCGGCUGUUGCGGGUUCGAGUCCCGUCGCUCACCCCA
rnacentral:tRNA from 1 species